rnacentral:rRNA from 1 species
GACGAACGCUGGCGGCGUGCUUAACACAUGCAAGUCGAGCGGUAAGGCCCUUUCGGGGGUACACGAGCGGCGAACGGGUGAGUAACACGUGGGUGACCUGCCCUUAGCUCUGGGAUAAGCCUGGGAAACUGGGUCUAAUACCGGAUAUGACUCCAUAACGCAUGUUGUGGGGUGGAAAGCCUUGUGCGGCUAGGGAUGGGCCCGCGGCCUAUCAGCUUGCUGGUGGGGUGANGGCCUACCAAGGCGACGACGGGUAGCCGGCCUGAGAGGGCGACCGGCCACACUGGGACUGAGACACGGCCCAGACUCCUACGGGAGGCAGCAGUGGGGAAUAUUGGACAAUGGGCGCAAGCCUGAUCCAGCAAUGCCGCGUGGAUGAAGAAGGUUUUCGAUUGUAAAGUCCGUUUCGGCGGGGACGAUGAUGACGGUACCCGCAGAAGAAGCCCCGGCUAACUUCGUGCCAGCAGCCGCCGUAAC